rnacentral:lncRNA from 1 species
AUUCUCAGGGAUGAACAACUGCUGCUGCACUAUUGAUUUCUGAGCAAAACAGGAGGAGGCAGGAGGCAGCACGCCCCGUUACUUUUCCAUCCCACGAGGGAUUGUGGGGCUAGGCUGCUCCGAGCGUUAUGAGAUCCCCGUGCCCUCUACUGGCUGCUCUGGUCACGCUGGGAUUUGCAGACGUCCAGCUUCAUGCUUUUCCCAUGUUUGUUUUCUUUCGUUCCAGCUAAUGCCAGUAUCACCAUACCAUUCAGUCUCCUUGACAGGACCUGGACUCCUCUCUAUUCCUCUUUUCAUCUCAAACUCAUUGACCAUCUCCUCCCAUCUGUCUCGCUUGGAGAAAUAAACAGCAUCCCCUUCUAGCAGAUGGACCUGGGGGAGAUCAGGAAGGUCCGACACAUCAGCAGCGCGCUGCUGGAGAUCAGGGUCAGUCUCUGCAACCAUGCUGUACGUGUGGCUGCAGAGUCCUCGUCUGAGGCAUCGCUCCUGAAGUAGACAGAGUCAUAGUCCUCUGUGUCAGUGCUAUCGGAGACUGCUGCAAGCGUGAUGGCCUCUGAUCUCCUUGGGAGAAAGGAGAGAAAAAGUGAUACCCGCAUCCUGCCGCUGGGGUGACCUGGCUGGCCCUGCGCCUUCAGAAAGGAACAUCUCUUCUGGACAUGUUCACGUACUGGCUAAGUUGGGUUUGUCCAGCAAAAAGUAGUAUCUUCCCACUCUGCAGAAACUGGAAUUUUGAACAAAUUUUGGGCACGUUACCUCAGAAUCCUUCAUCCAAGCGUUUGUUUAUUCUGAAUUUAUCCUGGGCUCAUUCAGUCAGGAAAAGAGGAGGCUCAGGAGAGACCGUAUCCCUCUCUACAGCUACCUGAAAGGAGGUUGUAGCGAGGUGGAGGUCAGCCCCUUCUCCCAGGUAAACAGCGACAGGAUGAGAGGUAAUGGCCUGAAGUUGCUCCAGGGAGGGGAGGUUCACGUUGGAUAUCAGGAAAAAAGUCUUCUCAGAAAGAAAUAAUGCAUAUUGGAACAGGCUGCCAGGGGAGAUAGCGAUGUCACCGUCCCCGAAGGUGUUCAGAAACAUGCAGAUGUGGCACUGAGGGAUGUGGUUCUGUGGGCAUGGUGGUGGUGGGCUGAUGGACUAGAUGAUCUUAUAGGUCUUUUCCAACCGUAAUGAUUCUAUGAUUUUAUGAUUCUACAAUGUACGCGUAGGCUCUAGAGAUGUGCAGGUUGGUCAGCACAGACCUCCCCCACCUUGGGCCCGCUCCACGAAGAUCUAUACCAAAGCAUCUGGAAGUAAAGCUCAACGCUUGCCGCUCUCCUCCUCUAACGCUGAACUUUGUGAGACAGCACAGCAGUGUCUGAGGGACCGUAAGCCUGCUCUACUCCAAGCAGUCAGCCAAGCAGUCGACGUGGUAAUGCGUGGCUCUGUGCUGGCCCAUUUAUCCUUCUUUCAUUGCAUGUGGUGUAGAAGACUUUUGGGUCUUGAUUAGACACAAAGGACUGCUCUGGAUGGUUCUAACACAGCCUACCCAGGCCGUUCUUGCUGAAGUACAGGAGGAUAUUUGCAUGAAACUGUCUCCCCUUUACUCCUAGUCUCCUUUUCCCAUAUACAUUAGAUCUUUAGCAACACAACUAUUCCAGCUCAAACAUCACUCUUGGAUGUUCUCAAGCCUGUGAACCUUCCCUUGGGUAGAAGCAGCCCUUGUGGAUAUUACUAAUUACUCAUCAGUGAAACUGAACAUCCAGUUACAAGGUUGUGUAUAAAAAG